AUUGAACGCUGGCGGCAUGCCUUACACAUGCAAGUCGAACGGCAGCACGGGAGCAAUCCUGGUGGCGAGUGGCGAACGGGUGAAUAACGCAUCGGAACGUGCCCAGUCGUGGGGGAUAGCCCGGCGAAAGCCGGAUUAAUACCGCAUACGACCUAUGGGUGAAAGCGGGGGACCAAAAGGCCUCGCGCGAUUGGAGCGGCCGAUGUCAGAUUAGGUAGUUGGUGGGGUAAAGGCCCACCAAGCCGACGAUCUGUAGCUGGUCUGAGAGGACGACCAGCCACACUGGGACUGAGACACGGCCCAGACUCCUACGGGAGGCAGCAGUGGGGAAUUUUGGACAAUGGGCGCAAGCCUGAUCCAGCCAUGCCGCGUGCGGGAAGAAGGCCUUCGGGUUGUAAACCGCUUUUGUCGGGGAAGAAAUGCUCCGGGAUAAUACCCUGGGGAGAUGACGGUACCCGAAGAAUAAGCACCGGCUAACUACGUGCCAGCCGCCGCAGUAACAC
rnacentral:rRNA from 1 species